UGGGGAAUAUUGCACAAUGGACGGAAGUUUGAUGCAGCGACGCCGCGUGGAGGGUGUAGGCCCUCGGGUUGUGAACUCCUUUUUCUCGCGAAAAAGGCACAGUAUUGGCUGUGUUGAUGGUCGUGGGGGAAGAAGCGCCGGCCAACUACGUGCCAGCAGCCGCGGUAAUAGGUAGGGCGCGAGCGUGGUCCGGAUUUAUUGGGCGUAAAGCGCUCGGAGGUGGUUUGUCGCGUCUGUGGUGAAAGCCAGCAGCUUAACAGUUGGACUGGGGUGGGUACGGGCGGGCUUGAGUGUGGUAGGGGUGGCUGGAAUUCCUGGUGUAGCGGUGGAAUGCGCAGAUAUCAGGAGGAACUCCGAUGGGGAAGGCAGGUAACUGGGCCGUUACUGACACUGAGGAGCGAAAGCGUGGGGAGCGAACAGG
rnacentral:rRNA from 1 species